GUACUGUUGCUGGAAAUUGGACCCGGGGGCCGCCGUGAAGCCGGGGAAGGAGGAGCUCCGCUGCUGCAGGAGGCGGACGGCGGUGCGCCGGCUGGCUGCGUCCUCCGCCGCGGGGGGUGUGCAAGUCCUGCAAGGAAAACCGGUGGCCGGGCUCCCCGGCGCCGGCCCUCCGAUGCCUAAGUCAGAGGGGGCAAGUAUGUGGAGAGAGCGGGGAAGAGGAAGUGUAUGGAGAAAACACAGUAUUUUAUCAGAUCAAGAAGACGAAGGGAAUGAUGUCAUCAAUUGUGUCUGUGCUUCCCGGAGAGUUCAGUCCUGGGGGUCUGUUUCCGUUUU
rnacentral:lncRNA from 1 species